rnacentral:rRNA from 1 species
AUGUGUGCACCAAAGAGAGAUGGAGGACUGGGUUUCCGCGACCCGGUGGCGUUCAACCAAGCACUCUUGGCAAAACAAGCUUGGAGGUUGCUCACGGCUCCGGAGUCUUUGGUGGCUAGGGUCCUCAAGGCUAGAUACUAUAAGGAUAACACAAUUUUUACUGCCACUUGUCCUUCCAAUGCUUCCUAUACUUUUAGAAGUGUGUUAUUCGGG